rnacentral:rRNA from 1 species
UACGAGUGCCUCAAGCGUUAUCCGGAAUUAUUGGGCGUAAAGGGUGUGUAGGCUGUUAUAUUAGUCCCGUGUUAAAACCUUCGGCUCAACCGAAGAUCUGCAUGGGAGACGGUAUAACUCGAGGAUGCGAGAGGUGAAUGGAACUCAUAGUGUAGGGGUGAAAUCCGUUGAUAUUAUGGGGAACACCAAAUGCGAAGGCAAUUCACUGGCGCACUCCUGACGCUGAAACACGAAAGCGUAGGUAGCGAAUGGG